UACGUAGGGGGCAAGCGUUGUCCGGAUUUAUUGGGCGUAAAGAGCGUGUAGGCGGCCAGGUAGGUCAGCUGUGAAAACUCGAGGCUCAACCUCGAGACGUCGGUUGAAACCACCUGGCUAGAGUCCGGAAGAGGAGAGUGGAAUUCCUGGUGUAGCGGUGAAAUGCGCAGAUAUCAGGAAGAACACCCGUGGCGAAGGCAGCACUCUGGGACGUGACUGACGCUGAGACGCGAAAGCGUGGGGAGCAAACAGG
rnacentral:rRNA from 1 species